UACGUAGGGGGCUAGCGUUGUCCGGAUUUAUUGGGCGUAAAGAGCGUGUAGGCGGCCAAGUAGGUCCGGUGUGAAAACUCGAGGCUUAACCUCGAGAUGUCAUCGGAAACCAUUUGGCUAGAGUCCGGAAGAGGAAAGUGGAAUUCCUGGUGUAGCGGUGAAAUGCGCAGAUAUCAGGAGGAACACCAGUGGCGAAGGCGCCUGUCUGGCUGACAACUGACGCUGAGACUCGAAAGCGUGGGUAGCAAACAGG
rnacentral:rRNA from 1 species